rnacentral:miRNA from 1 species
AACAGAAGAUAGUGUUGUUGCUGAUGAUGAUCAUGAUGGAAAGAAGAAUGGCAUUCAUCAUCAUCAUCAUCAUCAUCAUCAUAUCAU